CACUCCUGCGGGAGGCAGCAGUGGGGAAUAUUGGACAAUGGGCGCAAGCCUGAUCCAGCCAUGCCGCGUGAGUGAUGAAGGCCCUAGGGUUGUAAAGCUCUUUCACCGGUGAAGAUAAUGACGGUAACCGGAGAAGAAGCCCCGGCUAACUUCGUGCCAGCAGCCGCGGUAAUACGAAGGGGGCUAGCGUUGUUCGGAUUUACUGGGCGUAAAGCGCACGUAGGCGGACUAUUAAGUCAGGGGUGAAAUCCCGGGGCUCAACCCCGGAACUGCCUUUGAUACUGGUAGUCUUGAGUUCGAGAGAGGUGAGUGGAAUUCCGAGUGUAGAGGUGAAAUUCGUAGAUAUUCGGAGGAACACCAGUGGCGAAGGCGGCUCACUGGCGCGAUACUGACGCUGAGGUGCGAAAGCGUGGGGAGCAAACAGGAUUAGAUACCCGGGUAGUCCCAUGAU
rnacentral:rRNA from 1 species